rnacentral:rRNA from 1 species
UCCGGCAGCUACCAUGCAGUCGACGGUAACAGRAAGCAGCUUGCUKCUUYGCUGACGAGUGGCGGACGGGUGAGUAAUGUCUGGGAAACUGCCUGAUGGAGGGGGAUAACUACUGGAAACGGUAGCUAAUACCGCAUAACGUCGCAAGACCAAAGAGGGGGACCUUCGGGCCUCUUGCCAUCGGAUGUGCCCAGAUGGGAUUAGCUWGUWGGUGGGGUAACGGCUCACCWAGGCGACGAUCCCUAGCUGGUCUGAGAGGAUGACCAGCCACACUGGAACUGAGACACGGUCCAGACUCCUACGGGAGGCAGCAGUGGGGAAUAUUGCACAAUGGGCGCAAGCCUGAUGCAGCCAUGCCGCGUGUAUGAAGAAGGCCUUCGGGUUGUAAAGUACUUUCAGCGGGGAGGAAGGGAGUAAAGUUAAUACCUUUGCUCAUUGACGUUACCCGCAGAAGAAGCACCGGCUAACUCCGUGCCAGCAGCCGCGGUAAUACGGAGGGUGCAAGCGUUAAUCGGAAUUACUGGGCGUAAAGCGCACGCAGGCGGUUUGUUAAGUCAGAUGUGAAAUCCCCGGGCUCAACCUGGGAACUGCAUCUGAUACUGGCAAGCUUGAGUCUCGUAGAGGGGGGUAGAAUUCCAGGUGUAGCGGUGAAAUGCGUAGAGAUCUGGAGGAAUACCGGUGGCGAAAGCGGCCCCCUGGACGAAGACUGACGCUCAGUGCGAAAGCGUGGGGAGCAAACAGGAUUAGAUACCCUGCUAGUCCACGCCGUAAACGAUGUCGACUUGGAGGUUGUGCCCUUGAGCGUGCUUCCGGAGCUAACGCGUUAAGUCGACGCUGGGGAGUACGCCGCAGUUAAACUCAAUGAGUGACGGGGGCCGCACAGCGUGAGCAUGUGUUUAUCGAUGCAACGCGAAAACCCUUACCUGCUCUUGGAC